CCCACCCCCCGUAAAUAAGGCAGCAUUUAAAAGCAUCUGAAACUAAACGAAUGAGCUGGAAACCGCUUAAACGCUAACCACUAAGUCCCAUUUAAACAACAGCUGAUUAAUGUGAUCUCCUCUGCUUUCACUCCCUCUCUCAAUAAAACAUGGACUGCAGCUCCAGUGAUAAAGUUGAGCAGCCAGCAGUCAUAAGUGUCACUGUGUUAUGGAUUAUUCUGGUGUCACCCAGUCCAGCCAGUAUGGGGUUAGAUUUGUGCCAAUAGGAUCAAGAAAAACACUUUGGAGAGCAAACAAAUUUUAAAGAGCAAGUAACGUCUAAAUUAACUUUUUGUUGUUGAUGAACUGUAUAAAUGAGUGUCUAAUAGUGUUUUAAAUGUGUGUUCAUUAUUUUAGCAUUUUGGUGCAUUUUCUUUAAAAAUUAAAAAUUCUGCCUAAAUACCACAGUAUAGCUCCACCUUCAGCUUAAAACAUAGAAUUUGACUCAUUUUGAAUAAAUUUUAGCCAAUGGCUAAAGAGUAAGAUACUACGUAAACCAGUAGAGUACUACGUAGCAGCUCUGUGUCAAAGUUAUAAAAGCAACGAGCGUCUCGGCCACGCCUUGUGGCGAGUUGGGAGUUGGAUUUGCAAGCGAGCGUAGGACGGUCAGCGGUAGUUCAGCAUUAGCAUAUAGCAUAUCCUAGUCUUUAGCGUAGCCUUUAGUGUUAUACAUACUUAUUUAGUGUUAGCUUGGCUGUUGGAUAGUGUAGUUUAGUUAGUGUUUGGCUGUUAGUGUUAUUAGGAAAGUAGUUCAGGUCUAGUGCUCCAUAUCGUGUUAGUAUGGUGAGAAGGUGUAGUGUAGUAUGGUUGCGGUGGCUCUGUGGGGUUGUACUCCUUUCCGCUGGACUUAGAAAUUAGACGCCAGUGGUUGCGCGCAAUCGGUGUCUGGAAAACAUUCAGCUCCCGCCUGGUGCUGUGGUUUGCAACCAGCAUUUUACCCGCGAUUCUGCACAUCUCUGUUUGAAGAGGCUGUGCCCACCGUGGCUCUUCCGCGAUUUAGAUGCAGCCCACCGACUCUGCUCCCCCACCAUGACGGGCUCCAGUCUGAGGCUAAAUCUACCCAAGACACUGGCUGUCAGACUGAUUUAGUAAUCUGCAAGAAUGCACUUGUCCAGGCUGACGUGGUGUUACCCGUAGCAAAGAGCUCACAGCCUCAGUGUCUUGUGACACGGGGACCAUGACGGAAAUUCAUCUUCCAGAAAGUCCCAGAGCAGCGUCCACACCCCUGAAAAGACCAAGAUGUGAGGUGUCUGCUGUUGAUUCCAGCUUCCACCUCAGUGACAGUGCAAGCUCAGUGAACUGUUCAAGGAGGCUACUGAUUCUGCCCCUGUGACACUUGGUGGUGACGUGUGAGCUGAUUCACCUGGACACUCAGCAAAAUAUGGACUCUACACCAUGAAGCAGGCACACGUUAAUACUCUAUAAGAGCACAUAAGGUGAGCAACACCACAGAUUAUUGUUAUUACUGUACACUGUCCUGGAUUUGUUUUCUUUCUGCAUCUCAUCAUUAGCCUGGCUGAUCACCUGAUAACUCCUGUCACCUAGUUAUGACAGCAUGAGGAUGUCCUCACACACCUGUAACCCAUCAGCUCAUCUGGCAGAAUAGAGAGAGAAGAGACAACACCACAUCUCUUGUUCCUGGAAAGCCUUCAGCCUUCCUUCGAUGACUGAGAACCUCCAUCAGCUCUGUCUCCUGUCUGCCUACAAUUAUUAUAAUAAAUAGUGUGUUUGAGAAGUUUUUUGUGCUGCCAAAUAUCUCAUUUUGAUUCCAGUUUUGAUAUUUUAAUGGAUAUUUAUAAAUUACAUUAUUGAAUUAUCACAUUGCAUGUUUAACUAGCUCUCUUGUGAUGAAUUAAACUAGCACCUCACUGUUAAAAGCUCGUUUUAAUUUCAAGCAUGUUUAAGUAUUUAUGGACAUGAACAAAAACAGGAAAUAUAUAAAUUGAGAUUUAUUUAAUUAAUAUAACAAAUAAGGGGGAAUGAGUCAUUGAAAGGCACAUUCUUCUGGAAGCUCCUGAUCCUGACGACACCAGCAGAGACCAGCUGCAGACACCAGAGGAUCACCUGCAACCAAGAGCAGCUAGUAUCAGUAAAUAAAUAAUGAAAUCAGGGCAGUUUUAGUGGGCUGAACACAUUACAGAAUAAUUUUCUCAUGGGGUAGUUUCAUAACUUUCUA